rnacentral:rRNA from 3 species
CGUUGAUAGGCCGGGUGUGUAAGCGCAGCGAUGCGUUGAGCUAACCGGUACUAAUGAACCGUGAGGCUUAACCUUACAACGCCGAAGGUGUUU